GACGAACGCUGGCGGCGUGCUUAACACAUGCAAGUCGAACGGUAAGGCCCUUUGGGGUACACGAGUGGCGAACGGGUGAGUAACACGUGGGUGAUCUGCCCUGCACUUCGGGAUAAGCCUGGGAAACUGGGUCUAAUACCGGAUAGGACCACUGCCUGCAUGGGUGGUGGUGGAAAGCUUUUGCGGUGUGGGAUGGGCCCGCGGCCUAUCAGCUUGUUGGUGGGGUGAUGGCCUACCAAGGCGACGACGGGUAGCCGGCCUGAGAGGGUGACCGGCCACACUGGGACUGCGAUACGGCCCAGACUCCGACGGGAGGCAGCAGUGGGGAAUAUUGCACAAUGGGCGCAAGCCUGAUGCAGCGACGCCGCGUGAGGGAUGACGGCCUUCGGGUUGUAAACCUCUUUCAGCACCGACGAAGCGCAAGUGACGGUAGGUGCAGAAGAAGGACCGGCCAACUACGUGCCAGCCGCCGCAGUAA
rnacentral:rRNA from 1 species